GAUGAACGCUAGCUACAGGCUUAACACACGCAAGUCGAGGGGCAGCACUAGGUAGCAAUACUGAGGUGGCGACCGGCGCACGGGUGCGUAACGCGUAUCCAACCUUCCCGAUACUCUUGGAUAGCCUUCCGAAAGGGAGAUUAAUACAAGAUGGUGUUUCACUUUCGCAUGUUAUUGAAACUAAAGAUUUAUCGGUAUCGGAUGGGGAUGCGUGACAUUAGAUAGUAGGCGGGGUAACGGCCCACCUAGUCUACGAUGUCUAGGGGUUCUGAGAGGAAGGUCCCCCACACUGGAACUGAGACACGGUCCAGACUCCUACGGGAGGCAGCAGUGAGGAAUAUUGGUCAAUGGUCGGAAGACUGAACCAGCCAAGUAGCGUGAAGGAUGAAGGUUCUAUGGAUUGUAAACUUCUUUUAUACGGGAAUAAAACCUCCCACGUGUGGGAGCUUGUAUGUACCGUAUGAAUAAGCAUCGGCUAACUCCGUG
rnacentral:rRNA from 1 species